rnacentral:rRNA from 1 species
GACGAACGCUGGCGGCGUGCUUAACACAUGCAAGUCGAACGGAAAGGCCCUGCUUUUGUGGGGUGCUCGAGUGGCGAACGGGUGAGUAACACGUGAGUAACCUGCCCUUGACUUUGGGAUAACUUCAGGAAACUGGGGCUAAUACCGGAUAGGAGCUCCUGCUGCAUGGUGGGGGUUGGAAAGUUUCGGCGGUUGGGGAUGGACUCGCGGCUUAUCAGCUUGUUGGUGGGGUAGUGGCUUACCAAGGCUUUGACGGGUAGCAGGCCUGAGAGGGGGACCGGCCACAUUGGGACUGAGAUACGGCCCAGACUCCUACGGGAGGCAGCAGUGGGGAAUAUUGCACAAUGGGCGGAAGCCUGAUGCAGCAACGCCGCGUGCGGGAUGACGGCCUUCGGGUUGUAAACCGCUUUCGCCUGUGACGAAGCGUGAGUGACGGUAAUGGGUAAAGAAGCACCGGCUAACUACGUG